AGGGAUAUAGCUCAGUGGUAGAGCAUUUGCGUAGCAGGAAUGAGGCCUGGGUUUGAUCCCCAGUACCUUUG
rnacentral:tRNA from 1 species